rnacentral:rRNA from 1 species
UACGUAGGGCGCAAGCGUUAUCCGGAAUUAUUGGGCGUAAAGAGCUCGUAGGCGGUUUGUCGCGUCUGCCGUGAAAGUCCGGAGCUCAACUCCGGAUCUGCGGUGGGUACGGGCAGACUAGAGUGAUGUAGGGGAGACUGGAAUUCCUGGUGUAGCGGUGAAAUGCGCAGAUAUCAGGAGGAACACCAAUAGCGAAGGCAGCUCGCUGGGACGUACUGACACUAAGGCGCGAAAGCGUGGGGAGCGAACAGG